rnacentral:rRNA from 1 species
GAUGAACGCUGACAGAAUGCUUAACACAUGCAAGUCCACUUGAACUUCGGUUUGGGUGGCGGACGGGUGAGUAACGCGUAAAGAACUUGCCUCACAGCUAGGGACCACAUUUGGAAACGAAUGCUAGUACCUGAUAUUAUGAUUUUAGGGCAUCCUAGAAUUAUGAAAGCUAUAUGCGCUGUGAGAGAGCUUUACGUCCCAUUAGCUAGUUGGUGGGGUAACGGCUCACCAAGGCGAUGAUCGGUAGCCGGCCUGAGAGGGUGAGCAGCCACACUGGGACGGAGACACGGCACAGGCGGCUACGGGAGGCGGCAGUGGGGAAUUGGGGACCAUGGGCGGAGGCCUGAUCAAGCAAGGCCGCGUGUGUGAAGAAGGCCUUCGGGUUGUAAGGCGCUGUUGUCCGGAAAGAAAAGCUUGGCCCUAAUGCGGUAGGGGGAUGACGGUACCGGAAGAAGAAGCACCGGCUAACUACGUG